UCAUAGGUGUCUUUAAUUGACUUUUUGGAUUAGAAACGUGGUCAACAAGUUGGCCAUAUGCCACACAUGUUGUUAGCUUGAUGUCACGGAUACAAAAUACAGACUUGAAAUCUAACAAGAAGUUCAAGAAGAAGUGGCAGAACUAGAUUAAACAGAUUAGUACAAGAACAACACCAGAAGGGUGAGCUAGAACUCCAAGAGAUGUG
rnacentral:lncRNA from 1 species